UGACAUGCGGCAGCAUGGCGUCGAGAGUCGUCGUCGGGUUCCUCCCGUAAACCAGCUUUAACGGCGUGAUCUGUGUUGUUUCUUUCACUGCCGUGUUCUAAGCAAAGGUUACGUAUGGAAGGGCGACAUCCCACUUCUUGAGUUCGACGUCGAGGUACAUCGCUAACAUGUGGCGAGCGUCUUGUCCAGACGUUCCGUUAGGCCAUUGGUCUGCGGGUGGUAGGCAGUGAUCCUCCGGUGACUUUUCUGGCUAUACUGCAGGAUGGCUUGAGUAAGCUAAGCUGUAAAAGCCGUUCCUCUGUCGGUGAUAAGAACUUCUGGGUCGCAAUGUUGCAGCAGGAUGUUCUCGACGAAGAAUUUAGCAGCUUCGGCCGCAC
rnacentral:lncRNA from 1 species